CCUGCUUUCUGCUCUAGGGUCACAACCUAGGCUCCUCCUCUGGGGUCCUGCCCUGAAGGCAAAGCUGUGGGCAGCAGGGCUGUGGACAGUCAGGUGUGGCAGCAAGGCACAAACCAGAAUGGUGAAGCUGGCUGGCUCUCCUCCAAAGAAUGAGGGCUUUGGCCCUCAGAUGACACCAAGAGACUGUCAGAGGAAGCUCUGAGAGUGGCCCGGCAUUCCCAGUGCUGGCUGGAUGGCUGCCCCUGCCGCUCAGGCCAGAGCUAGGCUCCUGUGUUGGCGGGAAUUCCAAAGCUCCCCACACAUGAGCUCAUGGAUGGCCGGGUGCCCAGCCUUGCAGUUCAUGGCUUUAGAAUGCAUUCUCUGAGCUGGCCUGCUUCAGUUCCCCCAUCUCACCACAGCAAGUACUGCUGUGUGCUCUUGGCCCUUCAAAGACAGGCAAAUCCCAUAAAGGGCUUUUUUCUAAAACUGCCAAAUUUUGCAAGCACAUACAUGCACAUGCGUGUGUGUGUGCAAGCAGCAUGUGGACAAAGCAUCCUGUGUGCAUGGAGAUGAAGCAGAGCUCGCCCUGCCCUCAAGGAGCUCCUUGUCCGGUUUGGAGGGUGGAGAACGGAAGAGUGGGCAGAAAGACAUUCCUGCAAAAGACUGAUGCAUGGAAACCAAGGCACACUCUCCCACUCAGGUACACAGCUUCACAGGUAGACAGGUACACAGCGAGGCAGGUACAGACAGAGAGCGGUGUUGAAACUUGGUGAUAAAACUUCUGAUCCUGUUCAUCCCAGUGGACUCAGUGCUGGGCCCUGGGCACAUAAAGCUGAGUCAGACUCAGUCCCAACCCUAGAGGGGAGCUCUCACCCAGAGGGCAGAUGGACAGAUCCCCACAACAUAGUAUGUUAAGGGCUGAAUUGCACGAGUUCCCCAGGGGCCAUGGGUGACCUCAGCCUGGUCGGGUGAAGCUCCUCAGAAGAGGAGACAUUUCUGCUGAGCCUGGAAGGACAGGAAGGAGCUUACCAGAAAAAGAAGGAAGAGAAGGCUUGCCUGGCAGGGAAAAUGGCAAACACAAAAGCCUGGAGGUGGGAAUGUACAAGGCGUAUUUGGGAAACCACUCAGGUGUCCUAAAGGUUUGCUGGCUGGCAGGAGGAGGGUAUCUUUUAAAAGGGAUAUUGGAAGCAGCUCUUGAGUCAGGAGGGAGGGACCAUCUGGCCCAGGGGUCCAGGCAGUGGCAGUAACAUUGUAGAGACAGAAAGUCAAGGAAAGAUGGGAAAAGCUCCUCCCCAGCUGUCCCUCUGAAGACUUCUUACCCUUGCUAUUCCUGUUUUUACAGGCAAAGAACGGGACAGCUCCCUUAGCAGCCGACCAGCCACCAGCCCAGCUCCCCCAGUGCCUCGCCUUCACUCUCCCUUCUUAUUCCAAUAUCCCCACCCUCCAGCCCCACCCUAGCCCAGUGGGGCAACACCAGGUCCAUGCCCUCUUCCACCUUGAAAGGAACAAUUCUAAAAACCAGAGAGAAAGCCAUCUGGUCAGGCUGCUCAUCAGAAAUAACUGCCAAGUCUGAGAGGUCAUCCUGUCGCUGUCUCCUCUCCCCGGGGACCUGGGGACAUGGGGUGACGGCCAAGGAGUGCCCGUGGCACCUGUCAAUGCACGGACUGCUUGUCUGCAGGCAUUGAUUUCUCUCCUUCCUGACCUUUCAGGAGAGGCGCCCUGAAUUCCAUGCCAGGUCAUUACAGAGCCGGUGGCUGAGACUCUAGGAGACCCAGCCCCACUGGCUGCAGCCCCUUCGGAUGCAUCUAUGAGAGCAGCCUGGCCAUCACCCGCCGGCCUGGCCCGUGCUGUCAGCCGGCCAGAGCGUGUCUGAAUCGAGGAAAGCUGACUGGGGCUCGAUUCACACUGACUCAAGCCGCAAGGCGAGUUUAUGGUUCUUGAUUACACCCAGCAGGGAGGCCUUCUUAGUGAUGAGAGAGAAAAUAUUCAACAACCUGUCUUUGCAAUGUGCUGAUCUCUUGGAGAGAGAGAGUGUGUGUGUAGAGAAAGUGGAGGAGGGGUUUCAGAGGACAGUGAUUUAUGAGUGAAAAGAAGGUCUUCUAAAAAAAAAAUCCAGGGCUCCCCCAAACUGCCUCAACAUUUCCUCUUUCUCAUCGUUGGGUUUUGCCUUGGUAUAACUUUGAGGCACAGUGAUUGCAACCCUGUGGGCUUCUGCAAGCUGGUGCAAAGCUUUAAAGGAUGCAGGCCCGGAAGGCGCUGUAGUCCGUCCAGCUUUCACUCAGCAUUGCCUCGCAGCUGGGAGAGGUCUUGGACAGCGCUGCCUGCAGAGGCCCGGUGCAGCCCAAUCCCCAAGCCCCUUCUCUCCUUCACAGCCCUUUUCAUGUUCUGCUUCAUACUUAAACUGCAUCUGCUUGCACUCGGCGCCCAAACAUGG
rnacentral:lncRNA from 10 species